rnacentral:rRNA from 1 species
GGGUCAGUAGGUUGGUCGUGCCACCGGUACGUACUGGUCUCACUGAUACCUCCUUCCUGAAGAACCGUAAUGCCAUGAAUUGGGUGUUGCGGGGAAACAGGACUGUUACUUUGAAAAAAUUAGAGUGUUUAAAGCAAGCUAACGCUUGAAUACAUUAGCAUGGAAUAGUGAAAUAGGACGAUCGAUCCUAUUUUGUUGGUUUCUAGGAUUGACGUA